AGCACCUCAAGUGGUCAGGAUGAUUAUUGGGCCUAAAGCAUCCGUAGCUCGUUUUGUAAGUUUUCGGUUAAAUCCAUGCGCUUAACGUAUGGGCUGCCGGGAAUACUACAUAACUAGGAAGUGGGAGAGGUAGACGGUACUCGAUAGGAAGGGGUAAAAUCCUUUGAUCUAUUGAUGACCACCUGUGGCGAAGGCGGUCUACCAGAACACGUUCGACGGUGAGGGAUGAAAGCUGGGGGAGCAAACC
rnacentral:rRNA from 1 species